AGGCUGGGAAUUAGAAAAGGCAUCAGCUGCGGUAUGUGGUCCGAUCUGCCGUGAGGCUUUGCCCCGAGAAAGCGUCUCUAAGAUCGCCAAGGUCCGAAUCAUGAAAAUGCCAGGACAGUUAUGUAAACUACAGCUUCCGGACAUCAACGAUUUUGCGUGAUGAGUCACGGCAGCACACUACGUGACGGCAGAAAAUGUGCGUCUUCUAUGGAAUGCUCCCAAGAACUCAGAACGGUGCUCAGCGGAGGCUCACAACACUCAGUGGAUGCUCAAUAAACACCACUAAUUGGCUGAUGUUAAGGUCUGACUUACUUCAUUCCUUUUCUGUAUUUUUUUCGGUGACCACACUUUGGGAAGGCAACCCUGUUGGAGAAG